AGAGUUUGAUCAUGGCUCAGAUUGAACGCUGGCGGCAUGCCUUACACAUGCAAGUCGAACGGUAACGCGGGGCAACCUGGCGACGAGUGGCGAACGGGUGAGUAAUACAUCGGAACGUGCCCAGUAGUGGGGGAUAGCCCGGCGAAAGCCGGAUUAAUACCGCAUACGACCUACGGGUGAAAGCGGGGGAUCGCAAGACCUCGCGCUAUUGGAGCGGCCGAUGUCAGAUUAGCUAGUUGGUGGGGUAAAGGCCUACCAAGGCGACGAUCUGUAGCUGGUCUGAGAGGACGACCAGCCACACUGGGACUGAGACACGGCCCAGACUCCUACGGGAGGCAGCAGUGGGGAAUUUUGGACAAUGGGCGCAAGCCUGAUCCAGCCAUGCCGCGUGCGGGAAGAAGGCCUUCGGGUUGUAAACCGCUUUUGUCAGGGAAGAAACGCGCUGAGCUAAUACCUCGGCGUAAUGACGGUACCUGAAGAAUAAGCACCGGCUAACUACGUGCCAGCAGCGGCGGUAAUAC
rnacentral:rRNA from 1 species